rnacentral:rRNA from 1 species
GAUGAACGCUGGCGGCGUGCCUAAUACAUGCAAGUCGAGCGAACAGACGAGGAGCUUGCUCCUCUGACGUUAGCGGCGGACGGGUGAGUAGCACGUGGAUAACCUACCUAUAAGACUGGGAUAACUUCGGGAAACCGGAGCUAAUACCGGAUAAUAUAUUGAACCGCAUGGUUCAAUAGUGAAAGACGGUUUUGCUGUCACUUAUAGAUGGAUCCGCGCCGCAUUAGCUAGUUGGUAAGGUAACGGCUUACCAAGGCAACGAUGCGUAGCCGACCUGAGAGGGUGAUCGGCCACACUGGAACUGAGACACGGUCCAGACUCCUACGGGAGGCAGCAGUAGGGAAUAUUCCGCAAUGGGCGAAAGCCUGACGGAGCAACGCCGCGUGAGUGAUGAAGGUCUUCGGAUCGUAAAACUCUGUUAUUAGGGAAGAACAAAUGUGUAAGUAACUAUGCACGUCUUGACGGUACCUAAACAGAAAGCAACGGCUAACUACGUG